CGGGGUGGAGUAAUGUCUGGGAAACUGCCUGAUGGAGGGGGAUAACUACUGGAAACGGUAGCUAAUACCGCAUAACGUCGCAAGACCAAAGAGGGGGACCUUCGGGCCUCUUGCCAUCGGAUGUGCCCAGAUGGGAUUAGCUAGUAGAUGGGGUAACGGCUCACCUAGGCGACGAUCCCUAGCUGGUCUGAGAGGAUGACCAGCCACACUGGAACUGAGACGCGGUCCAG
rnacentral:rRNA from 1 species